rnacentral:lncRNA from 1 species
ACCCCCAGGGUGGCCAGCGGCAGAGCCAGCAGACACAGCAUUUCUCCUUGAGCGGGUCUCCAUCUCUGCCCCCUCCUCUGACAAACCCCUAAUCAAGGAUCUGAGCCUAAAGAUCUCCGAGGGACAGAGCCUGCUCAUCACAGGCAACACGGGCACUGGCAAGACCUCCUUGCUCCGGGUUCUGGGUGGCCUCUGGACGAGUACACGGGGCUCAGUGCAGAUGCUGACGGACUUUGGGCCCCAUGGGGUGCUAUUCCUGCCACAAAAGCCAUUCUUCACUGACGGGACCCUUCGGGAGCAGGUGAUAUAUCCCCUGAAGGAGGUCUACCCCGACUCAGGUGAGCUGGUCCUCCUUAGGUCAUGUCCUCUCCUUCUGUCAUGGUUGUCCCUGCUCUACCUGACUGUGGCCUCAUCUGUGCCCUUGGGGAGAGGCUCCAGCCAGGCCGCUGAUUCAAGGAAGAGGGGCUCCUCUCCUCUUCCUUUGACUGUUUUGGGGUCUGUACCCAGAUCUCACCUCAUU